rnacentral:piRNA from 1 species
AAACAGGUAAAUAGUAGAGGAUCAUGA